ensembl:lncRNA
GUGAGAUGGACUUACCUGAGCGGCAUCUACAAUCAUGCCUCGCCGGCGUAAAACCUGUGCUGUGUUCUGUGUUGUUGUUGAUUGUGAUGUGUACAGCUGGCAGCAGGAAAGCUGCAGCAGAAUGUACUGUUACAGCAGCCAUGUGAUUAUUGUAAGAAUAAAUCAUGCUGUGAAGCAUGAAAAUGCCAUCAGGUCUGCCAUGGCAGUUUACUUUUUUUUUUUCUUUUUUUUUUUUUUUUUUAAUAAAAAUUUUUCAAUAAAUUGCGCAAACCAGUAAACAAAUCAAAACAAGUACUGUUGAGAAACUAUAAUACAAAAUUUAAAAUUAAAAUUCUCAAUAACAAUAACUGGUAAAAAUAUAAAUAAUAUGUAAACAACAGGCACGUGCAGAGGGGGAGCUAGAGGGGCUUUUUUUUUUUUUUAAUUCUUUUUUUUUUUUUUAAUGUGUGUGCGUGCGGAGUCCUGUCUGUGCCCCUCAACAAUAAUAUUUAACUAUUAAUCACAGUUUUGCUAAAUAAAAGGAUCUGGCUUGCAUCAGUCACAUGAUCACAUUUAACCAAUGAUCGCCCUCGACGGCAGAACGUGCUGGUUACGAGCCGGGAACGAGCUCACAAAGAGCACGCGCAUUUUUUCCGGUCCGGAGCUGUAGGAGAAACACAAGUUAACUCAGAGACACAGACUGAUGCGACAAAACCAUCUCAGAUCAACACAGCCCUGCCCUCCAGCACUAUCCACAGCAACCCCUCAACAGCAACAUUGUACCCAUCAGGUAAAGCAUCGGCUACAUUUGCUUUGCCUUGUUGCCCAUAUUAGAUUCUUGAUGAAUGUGUGUUGUUGUUAUUCAGCCUGGUUCAAUGUGCCCCUUUUUAACUCUGAGCACCUGCCCCUCUAAACCUCUCUGCACGGCCCUGGUAAACAACUUAACAACCCCCAACGCGUCUAAGUCAAGUCACGUGACAGCGCAACAUGUAAACACAGGAGGGGGAAGAGGGAGCAAAGUGCCUCUGCUCUGCGCUGACACAGGAGCAGCGAGUCCAGCGACCUGGCUGUUUCAUGCCAUGCCAUCAAUGAGGAUUGUCCAGACUGAGAGACCUCUUCUGAAGCAAACAUGAAUCAACAUGUGAACAUGACCUGAUGCUGCUGAAGUGAAGCAAAGUUACAGAGGUUUGAUUACAGACACAGCUGAGAGUUUGUAAUCUGUCAUCAUUUUAAAAGGUUUAAAUUUCUUCAGUAUUGAACAGCAGAAAUGAGGCUUUGUUUUCGGAGGCCGACAGCAGUGAACACAACAGCAGACUGAUUGAUGGACUGUAGUUUGUCAGAGAUCAGCUGUGAUUGUCUGGCAGCAGCGCUGAAGUCCAACCCCUCCCAUCUGAGACAGCUGGACCUGUGGGGAAACAACCUGAAGGAUCCAGAUGUGAAGCAGCUGUGGGAUCUUUAGCAGAGUCCAGACUACAGACUGGAGACUCUGAGGUGGAGGUGAUGAUGGUAAACAGGACGGUGUGUGUGCUGAGGGAGGAGAAGCUGUGUCCUGAUGAUCCAGAGAGGUUGAAGCAGCAGCAGCUUGUGUGUAGAGAUGCUCUGACUGGGCCAUGUUACUGGGAGGUGGAGAGGAGAGCUUCAUCCAGCAGUGACUGACAGAGGAAUAAGCAGAAGUGCAGAUGACUGUCAGUGCUGCAGAGUGAACUGCUCUGAGAACAGCUCCACUAUCAGACACAAUGUAGAGUCCAGCAUCAUCCCUGUGUGUCCCUCUGGAUCUGACAGAGGAUCAUCAGUGUAUCUGGACUGCUCUGCUGCUGCUCUGUCCUUCUACAGUCUCUGCACAGUCUCUGUCUGACUCUGGCUUCAGAUCCUCCUGGAUCAAACUCACCUGGAAAGACUUUCAAACAUCACUCAAUAGAUUUGAAUACAGAAUAUAUUUGAUAUAUACUGUAGAUGUACUUUAGAGUUGCAGUUUGUCACUUGUAAAUACAGUCUGUGAGCAACUAUGAGCUGAAAGAUCUUUCUAGAAAUACAAAAUGUUUUCGCUCUUCUGUUGCUUUUUCAUAUAUUUCCACAACAUUAAUAUUGAUCCCACCUGUCUCACCUGUUUCAUGCUUUUAUACAUAAAACCGGACUCGUGUGAUUUGAGGCUGCUGUGGUUGCUGUGCUGCACGUCUUCAUUUAGAUAAUAGAGUUAUCUAGUGGUUCAGAGGGAGAACUGCAGGAGGUGGAGCUGUGUUUUAGCAUGGAAAACUUUUUAUCUUUUAGGCGCAGAUACAAAUAUGACAAGUAUCAGUGUAAGAUACAAAAGGUCACAUCAGUCAGCAGAGGGAACAGUGAUCACACAGAAAUGUAAGAAUAGAAACAUAACAGUGAAUCUGGACAUGUAUACAGAUGGAAGCAAACAAACAGGAUGUAACACUACAUUAAAGCCACAAAUGGGAAGAAAACAACCCCAAAGGAAAAUAUAUUUGAUCUCAGGAAUCCAAAUCAGAUGCUUUAGAGCAGGGAUCGACAAGCCUGGGCAUGCGUGUCACAGCUGGUACGUGAAGGGUUAACUGAUGGCACGAUCAUAGCUGCACUGGCCAUCGGGCAUACCGAUGGUGAUUUUUGUUUUUAUGGGGGGAAAAUGAUGGUUUUUUUUGUUUUUUUUGUGUUUUUUUGUAACGGUAUAAACGAUGAAAGGUGGUGGAUUGGCCACACUGUAAGAGAUAUACAUAAAAAUUACAGUUAAUAACUGUAAAAUGGCAUCAGUAAAAACAGUAAACAUUGAAUCAAAAAGAGUAAUUGAUUGUAAUAUGGACAUUACAUUUCUGUAAAUUGAAAAACAGUGAUUUGCUUUGGUGCCGCUUCUUAAUGACGGUAUCUUAGCUAACAACCCCAACUACCAGAUUAAACUUGUAACUGGCUAAAAAUAACUUAGCCUACCGGUGAGAGGGACGUUGCUAGCUGGCAGUUUUUUCAAGCAAUGUUGAACGUUCCAUAUUCAGACACUUCAAAAGCUUCAGGAGCAUCAGCACCACGUAAAU